UACGGAGGAUGCAAGCGUUAUCCGGAUUUAUUGGGUUUAAAGGGUCCGCAGGCGGGUUCUUAAGUCAGGGGUGAAAGCCUACAGCUUAACUGUAGAAUUGCCUUUGAUACUGGGAGUCUUGAGUAUAGUAGAAGUGGGCGGAAUACGUCAUGUAGCGGUGAAAUGCAUAGAUAUGACGUGGAACACCGAUUGCGAAGGCAGCUCACUAUGUUAUAACUGACGCUGAGGGACGAAAGCGUGGGGAGCAAACAGG
rnacentral:rRNA from 1 species